rnacentral:rRNA from 1 species
CUCGUUUAGAUUGAAGGAGCUUGCUCCUGAUUGAUAAACAUUUGAGUGAGUGGCGGACGGGUGAGUAACACGUGGGUAACCUGCCCUAAAGUGGGGGAUAACAUUUGGAAACAGAUGCUAAUACCGCAUGAAACCUAACACCGCAUGGUGUAGGGUUGAAAGAUGGUUUCGGCUAUCACUUUAGGAUGGACCCGCGGUGCAUUAGUUAGUUGGUGAGGUAAAGGCUCACCAAGACCGUGAUGCAUAGCCGACCUGAGAGGGUAAUCGGCCACACUGGGACUGAGACACGGCCCAGACUCCUGCGGGAGGCAGCAGUAGGGAAUCUUCCACAAUGGACGAAAGUCUGAUGGAGCAACGCCGCGUGAGUGAAGAAGGUUUUCGGAUCGUAAAACUCUGUUGUUGGAGAAGAAUGUAUCUGAUAGUAACUGAUCAGGUAGUGACGGUAUCCAACCAGAAAGCCACGGCUAACUACGUGCCAGCAGCCGCGGUAAUACGUAGGUGGCAAGCGUUGUCCGGAUUUAUUGGGCGUAAAGCGAGCGCAGGCGGUUUCUUAAGUCUGAUGUGAAAGCCUUCGGCUCAACCGAAGAAGUGCAUCGGAAACUGGGAAACUUGAGUGCAGAAGAGGACAGUGGAACUCCAUGUGUAGCGGUGAAAUGCGU